UACGUAGGGGGCUAGCGUUGUCCGGAAUCAUUGGGCGUAAAGCGCGCGUAGGCGGCCCGGUAAGUCCGCUGUAAAAAGUCCAGGGCUCAACCCUGGAACGCCGGUGGAUACUGUCGGGCUAGAGUCCGGAAGAGGCGAGUGGGAAUUCCUGGUGUAAGCCGGUGGGAAUGCGCAGGAUAUCAGGAGGAACACCGAUGGCGAAGGGCAGGCUCCGUGGGACGGUGAACUGAC
rnacentral:rRNA from 1 species